rnacentral:lncRNA from 1 species
GUUGCCUUGAACAACUCUUGAAAGUUUGUAAUUAUGUUUAGAACAUAAUGGUUGGUUGACAAAAAUAGUCCAUCGAUAUGGACUUAUGAUUAUUUUGAAUCAUUGAGUGUUGAAGUGUUAAACCACUUCUAGAAACGGAAACUAGGCAAGGACUUCACCUUUGUGUCCCUAUCCAAAUGGUUCACUAAGUUUAUUGUAAACUAUAUAGUGAACAAUAACCACACACUCUCCAAAUUGUUUGAUGUGUAUAACAAAAUUGAAAUAAGUUUCAAGAGAGAUAGUGGGAGUUUAGGGACCAUGACUAUUAUAGUCAAAGGAGAAGUCAAAUGAAGAAGAUAAAAUUAACUCUAAGGGAACAAACUUUCUUUAUGAAAGGAUGGACAUUGGAAGGGGUAUUUGCAAGAAAUGUCUUGCAAGUGUCAAGAACACACCUUUCAAAGGUGUUGUAAAUUGUUCUUGAAUAGUUCAAAACAGUUGGUUCUUCUACUUGAAUGCUUGAUUCCGUAUUAGUAACUAUGUUUUACAAUCGUUAUAAAAGUGUGACUAAUAAGAAGUAGAAGAUAUAUGAGAGAAGAAAAAGGUGCUUCACAUUCGGAACGUGAAUAAAAUAAAGAUCUCUGCGAAAGCAGAUAGUACUUACUUCCUCAUAUGAACUACCAAAGAAAUUGGAAAAACCAAAGAUUGUCUUUACAUUCCAAUUUUAAGGAACUUAAUUCCAUCACUAUAGUAGAGAUGGAUGAAUGUUUUGUUUAACAAAACAUUGUUCUUUAUUAAUCAAUGAUUGGAUUAUAGUAAUCUAAUUGAUUGUCUCUAUAGUAGAGAUGAUAUGGUAGUGUUAACUGUUUAAAAAAAUAAUGAUGCUUAAAACCCAAAAGGUUGCAAGGUAGUGACUAAUCCCAACUGAGUUGUGAUACCUCAAAAACAUAAAAUACGAGUUGGUCAUAGAUGGAUGCUUUGGAUCGUUAGAUCCGGAUCCAACACCUUUUUAUUAAAAUUGUAUAGAGGUGAAAUGUUCGAAUCUUUAUUCUUUUGGAAAGAAGAAAGAAUCACAAAGUUGUUGAG